AAAGACAACAGAAUUGUAGA
rnacentral:snRNA from 1 species